rnacentral:rRNA from 1 species
GAUGAACGCUAGCGGCAGGCCUAAUACAUGCAAGUCGAACGGCCCCGACACUUCGGUGUCGGGGUAGUGGCGCACGGGUGCGUAACGCGUACACAACAUACCCUUUACAGGGGGAUAGCGGCGGGAAACUGCCAGUAAUACCCCAUGUCCUUGCGAGGUGGCAUCAUUUUGCAAAGAAAGUUCAAGCGGUAAAGGAUUGGUGUGCGUCCGAUUAGCUAGUUGGCGGGGUAACGGCCCACCAAGGCGACGAUCGGUAGGGGGUGUGAGAGCAUGGCCCCCCACACGGUACGUGAGACACGGACCCGGA